rnacentral:lncRNA from 1 species
UCUUAUUUUCCUUAAGUUGUUGGACUUACUUGUAAAUGACGGAAUUCAUAUCAUCUUAUUAUCAUAGUGAGAAAACUCAAUAGUCCAAACGUCAGAUCAUAUUGAUAUUUCUAAUUCGUUUUCUACAUUAUAUAUGUACUAUCAAUCACAAUUACAUUAGAAACAUUCAAUGCCAGAUAACUUACUCUUGUUCCAAAUGCAGCUCUUCACGAUCCAAUCCAGAAGCCACGAGUAAUUUGAAAUAAUUGGGAUAAUCAGACAAAGGCAACAUCUCAUUUUCAUCCAAGUUGAAAUCACAAAUUCCACAACCGAG